rnacentral:lncRNA from 1 species
AGGGGGAAGAGGCGAGAGCGCGGAGGGCGCGCGUGCGCAUUGGCGCGGGGAGGAGCAGGGAUCUUGGCAGCGGGCGAGGAGGCUGCGAGCGAGCCGCGAACCGAGCGGGCGGCGGGCGCGCGCACCAUGGGGGAGAAACCCGGGACCAGGGUCUUCAAGAAGUCGAGCCCUAACUGCAAGCUCACCGUGUACUUGGGCAAGCGGGACUUCGUAGAUCACCUGGACAAAGUGGACCCUGUAGAUACCCCAGAAUCUUCCAUGCUCCGUCACACUGCAGCCAGGCCCAGAGGAUACAGGAAAGGCCUGCGGCGUAGACUUUGAGAUUCGAGCCUUCUGUGCUAAAUCACUAGAAGAGAAAAGCCACAAAAGGAACUCUGUGCGGCUGGUGAUCCGAAAGGUGCAGUUCGCCCCGGAGAAACCCGGCCCCCAGCCUUCAGCCGAAACCACACGCCACUUCCUCAUGUCUGACCGGUCCCUGCACCUCGAGGCUUCCCUGGACAAGGAGUGAGACAGUACGCCGACAUCUGCCUCUUCAGCACCGCCCAGUACAAGUGUCCUGUGGCUCAACUCGAACAAGAUGACCAGGUAUCUCCCAGCUCCACAUUCUGUAAGGUGUACACCAUAACCCCACUGCUCAGCGACAACCGGGAGAAGCGGGGUCUCGCCCUGGAUGGGAAACUCAAGCACGAGGACACCAACCUGGCUUCCA